rnacentral:rRNA from 1 species
CUGGAGAUAGCUGGUUCUCCCCGAAAACUAUUUAGGUAGUGCCUCAUGUAUUACUCUCGGGGGUAGAGCACUGUUUCGGCUAGGGGGACAUCCCGUCCUACCAAACCGAUGCAAACUCCGAAUACCGAGAAGUAGAGCAUGGGAGACACACAGCGGGUGCUAACGUCCGUUGUGGAAAGGGAAACAACCCAGAUCGCCAACUAAGGUCCCAAAAUUACAGCUAAGUGGGAAACGAAGUGAGAAGUCAAAGACAGCCAGGAGGUUGGCUUAGAAGCAGCCAUCCUUUAAAGAAAGCGUAACAGCUCACUGGUCAAGUCGACUUGCGCGGAAGAUUUACCGGGGCUUAAGCUGUAUACCGAAGUUGCGAAUGCAUAUUUAUAUGCGUGGUAGGGGAGCGUUCUGUAAGUCUGUGAAGGUGUAUCGCGAGAUAUGCUGGAGAUAUCAGAAGUGAGAAUGCUGACAUGAGUAACGAUAAUGCGGGUGAAAAACCCGCACGCCGAAAACCCAAGGGUUCCUGCGCAAUGCUAAUCAGCGCAGGGUUAGUCGGUCCUAAGGCGAGACUGAAAAGUGUAGUCGAUGGACAACAGGUUAAUAUUCCUGUACCGCAAUUACUGCGAUGGGGGGACGGAGAAGGCUAAGCAUACCGGGUGUUGGUUAUCCCGGGAAAAGUAUGUAGGUAGAGAACUUUGGAAAAUCCGGGUUCUUAUUACUGAGAUACGAGACCAUUGAUUUUUUAAUCAAGAAGUUGCUGACGCCAUGCUUCCAAGAAAAGCCUCUAAGCUUCAGGUAUUACGUGACCGUACCCCAAACCGACACAGGUGGGUGGGAUGAGAAUUCUAAGGCGCUUGAGAAAACUCUGGUGAAGGAACUAGGCAAAUUGGUACCGUAACUUCGGAAGAAGGUACGCCUUUGUUGGUGAUUGAAUUUACUUCAUAAGCUGAUGGAGGUCUCAGAAACCAGGUGGCUGCGACUGUUUACUAAAAACACAGCACUCUGCUAACUCGUAAGAGGAUGUAUAGGGUGUGACGCCUGCCCGGUGCCGGAAGGUUAAUUGAUCGAGUUAGCCCUUUUUGGGCGAAGCCCGUGAUCGAAGCCCCGGUGAACGGCGGCCGUAACUAUAACGGUCCUAAGGUAGCGAAAUUCCUUGUCGGGUAAGUUCCGACCUGCACGAAUGGCGUAAUCAUGGCCACACUGUCUCCACCCGAGACUCAGUGAAAUUGAAUUUGCGGUUAAGAUGCCGUAUACCCGCGGCUAGACGGAAAGACCCCGUGAACCUUUACUAUAGCUUGACAGUGAACAUUGCUCCUACAU